rnacentral:lncRNA from 1 species
GAAAACAACUUUUAACCGUGAGCUCCGAACAGGAAACGCGAACGGAAAAUAGGUAGAGGGAUUAUUUUUGGGAAAUUUGGAUAUAGAUCGGCGAAAGUAUUCUGGAGGAUGACGUGGUAAAAUUUGGGAUUAAUUGGAGGGAGUUUGGCGCAUGAAAUGACGGGUUAAUCAUUGAUUAGGGGCUUAAAUGGAGGUUUAGGGCUGAUUUUUAAUAAACCAGGGACCUAUUUGUAAUUUCUUUCGGAAGUGGAGGGGCUUAUGUGUAAUUUGGGGAAACUUGGGGGUCGGAUCUAAAAUCAAAGGCAAUCUUCUCCUUCUUCUCCAGGAACUUGGAGAUGGAGAGAGAGAGGGAGGGUGGGCCGGCGGCCGGCCGGCCGGGCGUCGCCG